rnacentral:rRNA from 1 species
AGCAGCCGCGGUAAUUCCAGCUCCAAUAGCGUAUAUUAAAGUUGUUGCAGUUAAAAGCUCGUAGUUGAAUUUCGGGAUCAGUACGCUGGUCAUGCCUUUGGUAUGCACUGGUGUCACUGGUUUCUCCCUUCUGAAGAACCGUGAUGUCAUUAAUUUGGUGUCGCGGGGAAUCAGGACUGUUACUUUGAAAAAGUUAGAGUGUUUAAAGCAGGCUCGCGCUUGAAUACAUUAGCAUGGAAUAAUGAAAUAGGACGUUUGACCCUAUUUUGUUGUUUCUAGGAUCGACGUAAUGAUUAAUAGGGAUAGUUGGGGGGCAUUAGUAUUCAAUUGUCAGAGGUGGAAAUUCUUGGAUUUAUUGAAGACUAACUACUGCGAAAGCAUUUGCCAAGGAUGUUUUCAUUAAUCAAGAACGAAGUUAGGGGAUCGAAGACGAUCAGGUACCGUCGUAGUCUUAACCAUAAACUAUGCCGACUAGGGAU